rnacentral:rRNA from 1 species
GACGAACGCUGGCGGCGUGCUUAACACAUGCAAGUCGAACGGAAAGGCCCUGCUUUUGUGGGGUGCUCGAGUGGCGAACGGGUGAGAAACACGUGAGUAACCUGCCCUUGUCUUUGGGAUAACUUCAGGAAACUGGGGCUAAUACCGGAUAGGAGCUCCUGCUGCAUGGUGGGGGUUGGAAAGUUUCGGCGGUUGGGGAUGGACUCGCGGCUUAUCAGCUUGUUGGUGGGGUAGUGGCUUACCAAGGCUUUGACGGGUAGCCGGCCUGGGAGGGUGACCGGCCACAUUGGGACUGAGAUACGGCCCAGACUCCUACGGGAGGCAGCAGUGGGGAAUAUUGCACAAUGGGCGGAAGCCUGAUGCAGCAACGCCGCGUGCGGGAUGACGGCCUUCGGGUUGUAAACCGCUUUCGCCUGUGACGAAGCGUGAGUGACGGUAAUGGGUAAAGAAGCACCGGCUAACUACGUG